rnacentral:ncRNA from 2 species
UCGUAAAAUCCGCGGGUUGGUGCUCGCGGUGUGGUUCGCAUGCCGCAGUUCAACGGGAAGCAGGGAGGCCGCCACCGCCAUGGUGGCGCCGAGCCUGCGCUGCCCCCGCAACGGUCAGCGGACGAAUCCCCCAGGAUUCCCUCUCCAGCACGCAGCCACUGGGCGCCUUGAACAAGCGCCUGGGAAGGCGCUGGAGGGCGUUUCGCCAGCCCGGAUACCGGCCAACACGGUGGCCGCGCG